rnacentral:lncRNA from 1 species
CACACACACACACACAAACAUCCAUCCAUAUACACACCUGUCUGUCUAUCUAUAUAAUCUAUUUCCUGAAUACAGGCAACCACUUCCUGAAAUAUUUUCCUUUCUUUGAUUCUGACCUAUUCACUUCCAACCCGAAGAACCAUUAUAUCAGACAAGAAACAAUAAUAACAGUGGGGAGUUUAAAAUAAAAUGGUUUCAUUGAUUUGAAAAUUUCGACUGGCUAAAAAGGCUUGCAGAGAUUGCAACAAAGUCGCAAUCAGAUUCUAUGGGAAUGAAUACCGAUUAAUUUAAUACCAACUGGCAAAUUUGAGAGGUACAGGAAAUACCCACCCACACACACCAAUAUAAAAAAAAAAAUCAUAGUUGAAUCGCAUGCUGAAUAGUGUAUCAAAUAGCAACACAAUAAAAUGCUAACUACAGGCAGCAUGUGUCCUUGCAACUAGAGUGUGAUGAAAGACGGAGUGCCAAGGAAAACACCUGAGGUCCUUUGGAAUACCACUGAGAAUUACGUCUAGCCUCAAGAUCGUCUGGCAAUUAGGAAGUUACACUGAAUGGUGAGCGGAAGACUGACACAAAAAUACCAAAAAUGUUCCUGUAACGGCUUCAAAAAUGCGGACAAAUUUAUAAUGGAACUGAUUUCAGGUUUGCGACUAUAAAUAUAAUGUCUAAGAAUUCCCAGUUGGUUGGACAAAUAUUUUCGUUCGUUCAGAGGAAAAAGUAUGAUAGCAACAAAGGUAGUGGAAUAUAUCAAUAAUGGAAUGCAUUAAUAAUAAUAAUUUUAAAAAAAUGAUGGAAUUAGCAGAAUGUAUUCUUUGAUAAUGUUGUCUAUUUUUUCAUGUCGUGGUCGUUACUCACGACUAAAGGAUUAUGUUAAUAUAUAAAUCAUUAAACUAAAUACAAGAUAAUGUUCAGUUUAUUAGUUAAUUCCCAAGGAGGUACCACCACACAUUGACACAACACACGCGUCUGUAUGUGUAUAAGAUGUUUUGGAAUGUAUAAUAAUAUACAAAGAUUUUUACGUACACACACACACAUCUUAGAUAAACAUACAUUAUAGCAUUGGCAUUAUAGAAAAUCCAAAAUUGCCUAAUAACACAUGAUAUGUGUUUGGUAAAAACUUAAGGAAUGUAUUAUUUAUUCCUCCUACUGCAGUACAAACACAGUAAAUAAAUAAAGAGAAAUUUAUAAUUCAAAGCACACACCGGGACAUUAAUAUAAACAGCAAGUAAAGUGUUAUAUAUAUUUAUAUUGUAUACAAACGGACACUGUGACAUAUUUUUAUAUGUAUAGAGGUGAAUAAGCGGAAUAAAAUUACAACCACACACACAUACUGAAGAAUGGUGUAGAUAAACAUUAUAAGAAAAUAGGCUGUAAGAAUGAAAAAAAUAUACAUUUAUAGAUUUAUAAUUUUAAAAUGAAAAGAAAGAAAAAGAGAAAAAUUUAGAGCUUCACUCACAUGCCAAUAGAGAGGGAAAGAUGAAAUGAAUGAGUGAGAGAAAAAAAACUGAAGAAGUUGAGAUAAAAGAUAAAAAUUUAUAUGUAUGUAUGUAUAGAGAAAGAGAGGGAGAGAAAGAAAGAAAGAAGGAGAAAUUGAAGUAAAAUUUAAUUAACUAGAUCCAAAAGACAAGUCAACAACCCAUAGCUGUCAUAUUUUGGGUGUGUAAUAAAAUUUUUCUACUUUUUAGUCCGGGGUGGUCUCCGUUCAAAGAGAAAGUCGAAUUUUUAUAUUAUUCUGUUAACCUCCAGCAAAAGAGGACGACACCAAAAUAAACUCUUUUAUAACAUAUAUAGAUAUAAAUAUAUGCACUCGCACCCAUAUACAUAACAUACACAUAUUGUAAUCUAUGUUAGUGGGAACCAAUUUAAAAGAUCCGUCUGUUAAUUUUGCACCGGGACCGGAUCUUCCUCUUGACAGCAACUUGUGAUUAGUUCUAAGAAAAUUAGUUUUGUUGUCAUCGUGAUCGUGGUAGUGGUGGUUGUCGCUUAGACCAGCUUUUUUUGUUACCAUCAUUAUUACCGGUACCAGCCGCCCUGGAUACGCCGCCGAACAUGCCCUCCGAUCGCCGUAGAGCUUCACUUCAGGUCCAUUCUCAGCGGAGUGAGCCAUGUACCCCGACUGACGGUGGCUGGGCAGGAGGAGGUGGACUGGGUGGACUCUGGAACAAUCGUACUUCUCGCCAACGUACCCAGGUAAGAUAAAACUUAUAUUGACUGUCUUACUUCUUGCGUCCCAUUCUCUUUAUCAAGGUUUUCGUCAUUCAUGACGACAAGCAUUCGCUGUACAAGAUGAAAAUUUCACCUUCUUGUUUAAUCUUCUUCAUUAUUUUAUUUUAUCCCUUUCCCGCCUAUGAUAUUGUCUUUUAGCUGAAAUAAAUAAAAAAUGAAACUCUCUUCAAUUAUAUAAAUUUUUAUAUAUUACCCCGCACUAUAUAUAUAUAUAUAUAUAUAUAUAUAUAUAUACAUACAUACAUACACACAUACAAAUACGUAUGAGUGUGUUAUAUCUAUCUGUAACUCAUACAUACUUUUGCAAGAAUAAGUACACACGCAUAUGUGUGCCAUAUAUGUCAUUGGUGUAUACAUGCAUGUACACGUUUAAAUCUACAUGCAUUAAUACAUACAUGUAUCCCGUGUGUGCUUGUACUUUAAAAAGGUGAUAGAAUCAAUAUCAUUUUUAUGGAUUUAACGCUUAUCAAUAUUUAUAAUGUACAUCUUCGUUUAUUUUUUCUUAAAAAGAAACUAUAAUUAUCUAUUUAAUGAUUUCCCCUCCUAAUUAUAUAUACUACAUAUAACAAAAUAUAAUAUUUCAUCAAAACGAAUGGUAAAAGAAUAAAAUUAUACAAGUCAAGAAAUUCAAGAAUUCUUCUGAUAUAAGCAAAUAAUGAUUCUAUUUAUUCCAUCCACCUGAAUGUCCUUUAAUGUAGUUUGGCAGAAAUAUAAAUUUAUGCUAAACUCAGGUAGUGACACUAAAAUAUUUAUAACAACCCUUUGCUUCUCUUGUACUUUUACUUUCCCAAUAUUACCGGUUCCAUUGUGUUUUUUAUGUGAAUUCUUCACAUGAAUACACAUCAUGUGUGUGUGUGUAUGUAUAUAUAUAUAUGUGUAUGUGAUUAUAUAGGUCUGUAUAGGUAUAUGUAGGUAAAUAUAUGUUUACGCACAUAUAUAUGUAGGUGUAUGUGUCAGUAUGCGCGCGCGCCUUCGUUUUACGUCCGUUUUUUCAUGCCAGCAUGAAUACAUUUGUGUAUAUAUUUUUCCCGACUUAGAACAUAUCAGCCUGCAUAUUUAUAUAUAGCUGUGUGUAUAACUUGUACACGCUACUGCAAUGCGAGACUAAACUUCCUAUGUGUGCGUAUAUAUCUGUCUUAAUUGGAUUACAAUUAUUAUUCCGUACUAUCUCCACUAACGUAGCUAAUGCCCUUCAGAAACAUGAAUAUUUAAAUCUCGCAGCACUCACCUCUACCUCUCCUCCUUCCCGCAUAAAUCUGACGCUCCUGUAAAUAUACUGUCUAUAUCUCUCUGUGUUCCUAUUUAUUUUGUGUCUAUCUAUCUAUCUAUCUAUCUAUCUAUCUAUCCAUCUAUCUUCUAUCUUUUCUUUUUUGACCUGCGGCCUUGCUCGGGCUCCUCUCUGUUUUUCAGCUUUGUUGUUGAUGAUGGUAGAUGUUGGAAGAUGAUCUAUAAUUGAAUUUGUAGCAGCUGAUCUUCCUGAAUGUAACCUUGCAUAGUUGACACAACACACACACACAUACAAUGUGUAUUUUAAAUAUCUGUACACAUUUUGAAAGUUUCCAUCAUCACCCCUCCAAAACAAAUAAUUUUGGAAUGAAAAAAAUUACUCAUUAAGAUUUUAAUUAAAAGCUUGAUAAUUUCGCUUUGAAAUUAAAGUGCCCUUGAGAAUGGUAUGGAGUUAAAAAAACAUCGUUUCUACUUUUGAGAAAUUAUUGGUUUUAAAGACCCAUUCAAGGAAUUAUUUUCGAAGCCAUGCAAAGUGCGCGCGCGCGCAUUUAUAUACACAAAUACACACAUAUAUAUAUAUAUAUAUGUGUGUGUGUGUGCGCACACAAAAUAUAUAUUACACAUGGGUGCAUAUGUAUGUGUGUCAAUGUAUGCGUGAGUGUAUGUGUGACUAUGAAUUAAAAGGUACGUAUGUGUAUGUAUAUCAUGCUGUUUUUUUUUCUCAGCAAUGUAGAGGAUAAUGUAUAUAUGUAAAAUUGUGCGAUUUUACAUAUUUUAAUUCAGAAUGAAACUAUAUACAAUAUUGAUUUUUUUGGUGUAUCUAUGCAGAGAUAAACAUGUGUGUGUUAUAUUCUAUGCUCUAUUCUCAAAAUCAGAUUGAGGAGGGUAGACAGUGUCAUGUCCAUCAUUGGGGACACACACACACACACACAUAUAUAUUUAUAUAUAUAUCUGUAUAUAUAUAUGUAUUUAUAUAUAUGUAAUAAUGUAAUAUAUAUGUAAUAAUGUAAUAUCUAUAUAUAUAUAUAUAUAUAUGUGUGUGUGUGUUAUAUAUAUAUAUAUAUGUAUAUAUGUAUAUAUAUAUAUAUGAUAUGAAUAGUCUUUUAUUUGUUUCAGUCAUUUAACUGUGGCCAUGUUGGAGCACCGCCUUUAGUCGAGCAAAAUGACCCCAGGACUUAUCCUUUGUAAGUCUGGUACUUAAUCUAUUGGUCUCUCUUGCCGAACUGCUAAGUUAUGGAGAUGUAAGCACAUCAGCCAUCGGUUGUGAAGCGAUGUUGGUAUGAGUGGGUGGAGAAACACACACAAAACAUAUACAUACACAUGCAUAUUUAUAUAUAUAUAUAUAUAUAUAUAUAUAUAUAUAUGUAGACAACGGGCGUCUUUCAGUUUCAGUCUACCAAGGUGCCACACAGUGGGAGUGAACCCAGAACCAUGUAGUUGGUAAGCAAACUACUUACCACACAGCCACUCCUUUGCCUAUAUAUAUAUAUAUAUAUAUGUGUGUGUGUGUAUAUAUUUUUAUACGUAUGUACAUAUGUAUCCAUGUAUAUGUAUAUAUACAUAUGUAUGCAUGUAUGUAUAUAUAUAUAUAUAUAUAUAUAUAUGUAUAUAUAUACAUAAGUAUGCAUGUGUAUAUAUAUAUAUAUGUAUAUAUAUACAUAAGUAUGCAUGUGUAUAUAUAUAUAUGUAUAUAUAUACAUAAGUAUGCAUGUGUAUAUAUAUAUAUAUGUAUAUAUAUACAUAAGUAUGCAUGUGUAUAUAUAUAUAUGUAUAUAUAUAUACACACAUGCAUAUGUAAGCAUGAAUAUAAAUAUACAUUGAGACCCCCUUCGGUCAUGACUGACCGUGGGAUUGCACCUAGAAAGUUACCCUCCCAGGCACAAGUCUGGGCAAGGUUGUUUAUAGAAGACCAGCAGUCACCCAUGCAUAUUGGCGUCCCCUCUGCACGCCACCAGUGUUAUCUAAGGGAAAGGCAAAAGCAGAUACAGCUUGGCACCUGUGACAUCUCAACUCAUUUCUACAGCUGAGUGAACUGGAGCAACGUGAAAUAAAGUGUCUUGCUCAAGAACACAACACGCAGCCCGGUCCGGGAUUCGAACUCACAACCUCACGAUCAUAAGCUCGACUGUCUAACCACUGAGCCAUGCACCUUCACAAUAUACAUAUAUAUACUUAUAUACAUAUGUAUAUAAGUAUAUAUAUAUAUAUAUAUAUAUAUAUAUAUAUAUAUGCAUAUAUAUAUAUAUCAUAUAUAUAUAUAUAUGCAUAUAUAUAUAUAUAUAGCAUAUAUAUAUAUAUAUAUAUAUAUAUAUAUAUAUAUAUAUGCAUAUAUAUAUAUGUACAUAUGCAUAUAUGCAUGCAUAUAGGUGCAUAUAUAUAUAUAUAUAUUAUAUAUAUCUAUAUAUAUUAUAUAUAUCUGCAUGUAUAUAUGUAUAAUAAUAAUAAUAUAUAUAUAUAUAUAUAUAUAUCAUGUAUAUCAUCAUCAUCAUCGUUUAACGUCCGUUUUCCGUGCUAGCACGAGUUGGACAGUUCGACUGGGGUCUUGGAAGCCAGGAGGCUGCACCAGGCUCUAGUCUGAUCUGGCAGUGUUUAAAAGCAGCAGAAAUAUAACAAAAGCUGUUACUCAGAGAACGGGAAUAUGAAACUCUGAGUAACAGCUUUUGUUAUAUUUCUGCUGCUUUUAAUACUCUACCUCUGGUAUCUGGUAUUUGAGUACUGUAUUUUUCCACCUUGUUUCACAUUUAUGUGCUUACUCCGGUAUAUAUAAAUAUAUAUAUAUAUAUAGUCGGUGGCACAUAAAAAACACCAUCCGAGCGUGGUCGUCUGCUAGCCUCAUCUGGCACCUGUGUCGGUGGCACAUAAAAACACCAUCCGAGUGUGGCCGUUCGCCAGCCUCGUCUGGCACCUGUGUCGGUGGCACAUAAAAACACCAUCCGAGCGUGGCCGUUCACCAGCCUCGUCUGGCACCUGUGUCGGUGGCACAUAAAAUCACCCACUACACUCUCGGAGUGGUUGGCGUUAGGAAAGGCAUCCAGCUGUAGAAACACUGCCAGAUCUGAUUGGCCUGGUGCAGCCUUCGGGCUCCUCAGACCCCAGUUGAACCGUCCAACCCAUGCUAGCAUGGAAAGCGGACGUUAAAUGAUGAUGAUGAUGAUAUAUAUAUAUAUAUACUAGCAGUAUCGCCCGGCGUUGCUCGGGUUUGUAAGGGAAAUAACUAUAAAGCAUUUUUAGAGAGUUAUAGCCAAAAAAUAGCAAAAAAAUGGAAAAAAAAUGACGGUAAAUUUUUUUUGAGAGUUAAAAGGGUCGAGUUGCAUCCCCUAGACAGUCUGUGGUUUGUGUUUCUGAUUCUCGACCCCAUGUCGAAUUUAUCGAUUUUUCUCAGAACUGAGGGAACUUUUCAAAAUUUUCGCUGCGUUAGUUUUGAAUUAUGACAUUGGGCUACGUGUGUGUCAAGUUUCAUCAGAAUCGGUUGAAAGCCGUGGUCAGGGUGAGGGUACAACGUGACAGACACACAGACACACACAGAGACAAACUGCCGUUUAUAUAUAGAGAGAUAUAUAUACACAUACAUACACAUAUACACAUACAAAUACAAUAUACACACUCACUUGCACCUAUCAUAUGAAGUUAUGCAUGAAACUUAAAGGUUUUGAGAGUCACUUUGUAACUUUUGUCUAUUAUAUAUAUAUAUAUGUAAGUUUCAUGUUUUGUGUUCUCGUCAUCCUUGUGCUGCAACACCCAUCCCACGCAUAUAUACAUACAUACUUUUAUGUAUAAAUACAUAUACACUCUCUAUAUCUGUGUGUGUGUGUGUGUGUGCAGCAUUUUUUGUUUCUUCCACAUGUAACAAUAAUAUAAUUUCAACUGAAUAUAUGUCAAUUCCAAAGAUUUAUGUGUGCUUAUAAUGUCACAUGUGUGUGUAGAUAUGAGUAUGUAUGUGUGCAUAUUAUGUUUGUGCACAUUUGUGAGUAUGAAUGUGUACAUAUAUCUGUAUGUGUGUGUAUAUAUAUGAGUUUGUAUGUGCAUAGCUGUCUAUUCUUGUUUGUGUGUAUGUGUGUGUGUGUAUAUAUAUUCGUGUAUGUGUAUUUAUAUCUGCAUGUAUAUGUGUGUGCAUGUAAUAAAUAUAUUCAUAUAUGGAUGGGGAAAGGAAAUAGUUCAAAUUAUUCCCAUAGCACUUUUCCGCCCACCCCCACCUAGUCUUUGGGUUCCUGUCAUACAUUCCAGAGUCUUCAUCACAGUCCCUGUCUCAACAUCCUUAAUCCAAUCUCCCCUUUAUCCCCCCACACCUCUUCUUUUAUCCCUUAGUUUUCUAAACACAAUUGAAUUCCUUGAUAGACCAAAGGACCACACAUUUUUCUUUGCCUUGAUGUUCCUAUCACUCUUUCUCCCAAACUAAUGCAUUGUUCUAUGGCUGACUGUUUGGCCUGGUAGUUCUUUCAUGUAAUGACAAGAAUUCUUCAAGAAUGCUGACAAUUUCAUCCUAUUUAUUUAUUUAUUCAUUUUUUAUGUUGAGUACAUUCACAUCUUAAGUGUUGUUCUUCAUUGUAUUAGCUUUUGUUACUUGCACUUUUGAAAUGUUCUGUGUUCCACAUCUAAUGUAUGCAUAUAUUUUUAUAUGUAUGUAUGUACAAUAUACAAAUAUAUAUGUGCAUGUGUGUGUAUUUAUGUAUAAAUGUUUGUGCAUGCACCACACACACACACACAAAUAAGACGUUUAGCAUAUCUUUAAUGACCAGUUACAGUUGUUUUGUUACCACUGUGUUUUUAACGCCAUCGCAAUGCAGAAGUUCCAUUUGGCCCAGGACUAUAGUGGAAAAGACAAGUGCCUUAGAUAACACACAGUGGGACUGAACCUGGAAUCGUACUAUUGUGGAGUGAGUGUUUUGACCAUACAUCAUCCCUGCAUCUAUACAGCCAUGCUUGUACCUAUUUCAUCAUUAUAAUCAUCAUCAUCAUCAUUGUUUUAACAAUCCUUUUUCUGUGCUCGCAAGGUCAGAUGGGAUUUGUUGAAACUGAUUUCCUACAGCUGGAUGACUUUCCUGCUUAUUUAUAUUUAUUGUGUGAUGCCAAUACAAGGUGAUACAGAUACAAAUAGAUAAUUGGAGCAGCCAUAGCUCCAAUUGAUGCAGGUGUUGUUGUGUGGUUGAGAAGUUGACUUCACAACCACAUGUUUUGGGUUCAGUCCUACUACAUGACACUUUGGGCAAGUGUCUUCCACAAUAGCCAUAGGCCAAACAAAGCCUUGUGAGUGGAUUUGGUAGAUGGAAACUGAAAAAAAUCUGUUAUCAUAUAUAUAUGCAUGUAUGUGUGUAAGGUGGUGUGCUGGCAGAAUAGUUAGCACGCCAGGCAAAAUGCUGAGUAGCAUUUUGUCUGUCUAUGUUCUUAGUUCAAAUUCCACCAAUGUUGAUUUUACCUUUCAUCCUUUUGGGGUUAUAAAAUAAGUACCAGUUGAACACUGGGUUUGAUGUAAUCGACUUAGCCACUCCCUGAAUUUGCUAGCCUUGUGCCAUAAUUUGAAAUAUAUAUAUAUAUAUAUAUAUAUAUACGUGUGUGUGUGUGAUGGACUUUAUGCUUCCGUCAGCCAAAUUCACUUACAAGACUUAGAUUUUUUAAUUUAUUAGAAAUUUAUGAAAUAUCGUAUGAAGUAGUAUAUAUAUUUAUAUCUCCUUCUAUACAAAUGACUGCAGAAUAAAAACAAAAGAUCAAAAAGAUCUCCUUGUCACCCCUUAUAUUUAUUCACCUUAUUUGAAAUUCUGUUAUACUCUUACAGUAUUUUAUUCUCAGGUGAAUAUAGUACUCAGUUCCUUCUGAGGAACUGAGUACCAUAUUUAUAAGGAAGGAGACAUUCAUCAGUCUUGUUCCUUAUAAAUGGCAUCACACAAAUGUAUGCUUGUUUAAACACAGAAUUAGGAUAUUGUUUUUUUUUUAUUGCCAUUUAUAUUAAAUGAAUCAGGAUGAGAUGAUCGGGCACAGCUGUUCGGAUGCUGAUGUUUUGGCAUGGCUGACUGGACAUUCAGCCUGUUUUGGUAACAGUGCUUUUCAGUAUUGGAGGCAAACAUGCUCAUACAUACAUAAUGCAGAAAUACACUCAUACAAAGUGAGAGAGAGAGAGAAAAUCAUUUCAAUUGAUUGAAUAUGAUUGACAUAAACACUUUCCCUCUCCUGAUACACAUGAAAAGAAAUAUGCUCACUGACAUUAACAGAGAGAGAGAGAGAGAGAGAGAGAAACAUUAAAACAUCUGAUUUCAAAUAAGUCAGUGUUGAAUAAGUGAUGCCAAAUAAGUGCCACCAAAAUGGCUAGCCAAAAUGUCUUAUAUCCUAAAUGGAGAGAACAUUAAUUUCAUUCAUAGUGAUGUUUGUGUCUUACUGUUGAUCAGUUCCUUUAAUAAUAUCACCAUUCAUGCAGCAAUUAAUGGAAUAAACAUUUCUGGCCAAAGUGUCUCCUAUGUAUUCUUCAACCAAAUAGACUCCUACAUUGUAUAUAUGUUUGUAUAUUUGUGUGUGUGUGUGUGUGUGUGUGUGUGUGUGUGUGUUGAAGCUCCUCAUUUUCUUAAGUUUAGUUGUUGUGUAGCCUUUAGUCAAUUUUUGCCAUAGCAGACUAAAUGGCUCUGAAAUCAGAAACAGAGCUCUUUGAAGCAGUUGAUAGGUUCCAGGGCAGCAAAUAUCUCAUGCGUCAGCUUUGGUUGGCACAACACUGCAUGUUCUGUCAUGCAGGAUUAGUGAUGAGAGUCACUGUGUACUGCAUCAAUUUAAGAUAAUAGUGAUUGCUCAGUGCUAUGUAAUUUAUGUAAUUCUUCAAUGUUUGUGAAUAGUCAUAGUCUUCUUUAUUAACAGAGGAUGUUGAAUGACUCUGUGUCAAGACUGGAGUGUUUAAAACAUCAAAUAAAAUAGAGUAUUGUGCUGGCUGUAUUAACAACUUGGAAUUUCUUUCAACAAAUGUCAGUCAAAUAAACCAGAGAUGUUAUUAAAACUAACAUAGAACUAAUUUAUUUUAAACUAAUUAGGACUAAUGUAGUCUUGCCUUAUCCAUGCAAACAUGGUAAAGUUGAUAUCACAAUGAAAAUUAUAUACAUAAUUUUAAUAUAUGUGUAUGUGUGUGGGUAUAAGUAUCUUUUUAUCUUUCACUUGUUUCAGUCAUUAGACUGUGGCUAUAUUGGGGCAUUACGUUGAAGAAUUUUUAGUUGAAAUGUAUUGACCCCAGUACUUUUUUUUUUAAAGCCUGGUACUUAUUCUAUCAAUCUCUUUUGCUGAAUCACUAAGUUACAGGGACAUGAACACAAGUUGUCAAGUGGUGAUGGGGAACAAACACAGGCACAAAGACACACACGCACAUGCACACACACACAUGAUGGGCUUCUUUCAGUUUCCAUCUACCAAAUCCACUCACAAGGCUUUGAUUAGCCUGAGACAGCGCCCAAGGUGCCAUGUAGUGUGACUGAACCUGGAAUCAUGUGGUUGGGAGUAAGCUUCUUACUACAUAGCCAUGCCUGCACCUGAAAAAAAAAACCAUGUAAAAAAACAGUUGAACAUUGAACUGAAGAAUUAUUUUUUCUGUCGAGUACAUGUUUAUUAUAAAUGUAUAUCAAAAGUAGAUUGGUGGCUGACUUUGCAGUUUUGGCUUACUUGUCUUUGUCAGACUAUCAAGCCAGCAGGUCGAAUCUUGGAAGUCUCUAUCAUCCCUCUCAUUGUAAAAGUUUAACAUUUAUAUAUAUAUAUAUAUAUAUGAUAGCCACUUGAUUCUAUGAAUCCAUAUAUUACACUACAAAUUUAUAUACUAGACUACCUAUGACCUGUUGGGUCACUGGGAAACACUGAGUUUCCCAGCAAUGGAGUUUUGUUUCGUGGGUUUUUUUUCUUUUCCAGGUUAUUUCACGUGCUUUCAACAGCGAAAUCAUGCGUAAACAGCUCCUUUCCCCUGAAAAGGAAAGAUUUGGCUGCUAUUUCUUACAUGCCCUGCUACCACGCAACUGGUAUUUUGGGUCCCUUAUCGCAAAUAACUAUUACAUGGUAGGACAUGCUAGAAAUAGCACCCAAAUCUUUGGAGGUGAGAUAUGUUGAAUGCACUUGAAAAAACCUAGGGAACAAAAAUUAUUUCACACUGAAGUUACGAACGGGUCUUUUACGAAAUAUUCAUCAUACUUUUAAAGUCAUUUUCAUUUAAAAAUAGUUUUGAAAUAUGUCAAAAGAAAUUUUUGUUAUAGUAUUCACUUGAAAAUAAUUUAAAAAACAUUAAAAUGUUGUCUGUUUAAAGAAAGCUAAAAUAUAAAUACUUACUGUACAAAUAACUUACAUUUUUGAAAUCAUAUUCACUUAUAUUUCUAAAUCAUUAAAAUAUUGUGUUUGACAUUUACUGUAAAAAAACAAAUCAUAUUUUUCCGUUGUCAAAUCAGUCUAAUUGAAAGGUUAGAGUUUUUUCCCUUUCAAGAUGAAGUUAUAUUUGGAACAUUUUCCCAUUGUGCACCGUUUUGGGUAUUUAUAUCCCCAAAACCUGAAUAUCUCAAUAACUACUGUUCCAAUUUACGUGAAAUUUGUUUCAUUCCAUUUAUUUUAACAUUUCAGGGUAAACUUAAUUCAUAGGAUUUUCCCAUUAUGUGCCAGUUUGGCCGAGUAACAUUGCAAGCAAGCAAGCAAGAUUCAAACUGACUUUUAAUGUCUUAUAGCUGAAAAGUUCCUGGCUUUAAGGGUAUUGUUAAAGGCCUAGUUGGAGGCUCAACUUUCCAAGUUCUUUUGCAGGGUUUAAAAAAACUGAAGGACCGCUGCAAUAAGUGUGUGAAUCUGAGAGAGAAUAUGUUGAAUAAAAUCAUAAUAACUGAUCCUCUUGUAUUUUCUUUUACCCAAAGCCAGGAACUUUUUAGUACCCCUUCAUAUAUCUAUAUAAUCUUCAUCAUCAUUUAAUGUCCAUAUAUACACACACAUACGAUUUUCAUUUUUACACAUUCAUAAAAUGCGUACACAAAUGCACACGCACAAACUAUAAUUUUAACUAGCUGAUAAAUGCAGAUUUGUGUAUCUCUUGUUGAACUUUGAAAGGCCAAGAACAGUAAUACAUAUAUUUAAGAAAUAGAAAAUUGGGUUAACAAAUAUGAUAAUAGGCUUGACUUACAAACCUAUUUUCUUUUCCCCUUGACUUCCUGACUAAAACUAAACAUAUAGGUGCAGGCGUCGGUGUGUGGUAAGAAGCUUGCUUCCCAACCAUAUGUUUUUGAGUUCAGUCCCACUGUGUGGCACCUUGGGCAAAUGUCUUCAACUAAAGCCUUGGGCCGACCAAAACCUUGUGAGUGGAUUUGGUAGAUGGAAACUUAAAGAUGCCUGUUGUGUGUGUGUAUAUAUAUACAUGUGUGUGUUUGUCAUCCACCACUGCUUGACAACCAGUGUUGGUUUGUUUAUGUCCCUGUAAUGUAGCAAUUUGACAAAAAGAGUCCAGACUUUAAAAAAAAAAGUAUUGGGGUUGAUUCAUUGGACUAAAAGUUUAUCAAGGCAGUGCCCCAGCAUGGCUGUAGCCUAAUGACUGAAACAGAUAAAAGAUAAAAGGUACCAUCAAUCAUCAUCAUCAUGAAAAUCAUUGUUUUGAAUGUCCAAAAUCCAGGACAUAAAGGUGUGUCCUUUAUGACCAUGGUCUCCCUUCUCUCCCAUAACUCUUAAUACUUCCCACCCCUCAGCUGAGGGAACUUGUCCUGCAAGUUAUUUUGUAACCUCACUGCUCCUAGUGCCACAUAAAAAACACCCAGUACACUCUGUAAAGUGGUUGAUAUUAGGAAGGGCAUCCAACCAUAGAAAUACCAAAGAAGACAAUAGGACUUGGUGCAGUCUUCUAGCUUUUCUAGUUUCUGUCAAACUGUCAAACCCAUACCACCAUGGAAAACAUGUUAAAUAAUGACGAUACUGAUGAGUGAUGAUAAUGUUUACUUUUCUGUAUCUGCAAGGAUCAGACAGAAUUUAUUUGGGCAAAUUUUCUAUAGCCAGAUGCCCUUCCUGAUACCAAACCUCACUUGUUUCCAAGCAAAGUAAUAUUUGUCAAUAACUGGAAUGAAGGAUACUGCUUGUCUGAUGUUUACAAUUGUUGCCUGAUGUCAAGACAAAGAAGCACACACACACACGCAUAGAAAUAUACACUUACAGAUAGAGAGAGAGUGAGAGAGAGAGAUUAUAAUUUAUUAAUUAACCCCUUGCAGAUGUUAUUAGGCCGUUUAGUAACUACAUAAUUUUGCAUACAAAGAAUUUCACUGUGUAUUUACAGAGUCUUCUCUGUGGUACAGUCAAAAACACAGUGCUGCACAUAGUGAGACAUCAUAUGGCUCACACACACAUUGUUUCGAUGUGGUCAGUAUCGCUUCCUGUCUGCAAGGGGUUAAACAGGAUUGACAUAUACGCUUCACCUCUCCUGAUACGCAUAAAGAAAAUAUGCUCACACAAAUAUACCAAAGACAAAGAGAGGGGAAUGGAAAGAGAGAGAGAGAGACAUUAAAACAUUCUCAUGUCAAAUAAGUUGUUGAAUCAGCAAGGCCAAAUAAACUCUGCCAAAAUGGCUGAACCAAAACGUCUCAGACUCUCCUUGAGGAAAAUCAUAGUCACUGCUUUCUAUUCUCACUAAGCAAUUAGUGUAAGACAAGAAUGCCCAUUACUAUUUAUCUAUCUAUAACAAAGAAUGUGAUGUUUUGUCAGGUCAAAAAUCUUUGUAAAUUCUCCUGGAAGUUCAUUACAUGUCAGAUACCAUUGAAAAUAUCUCUAUUAUUAGACACUUUCUGAAUAAUCCAACUUUCAACAAUAGAAAUCCAUCUUAUUUUUAACUUUCCCAUACUUUGGAAAUGUUUGCAGUGUCUACCAAUACUUUUAACCUAUUUAUAACUAGUGAAUGUUGUUCUCUUGUAGUCUUAGUGAAUGCAGUCUUCGUUUUCUGUUUACCAUUCCUGUUUGUGAUAAUAACUUUCUAGAAUAUAAACUAUCUAUUUCACGAAAUUAAAUGAAUUGGAAUGCUUCACUUGUGUUUUCAAAAACAACUACUUUGCACAAUUGAUAUAUUUAAGCAAUAGCCCAACCCUCACCCCUGCGUGUGUGUGGUGUAUUCGUAAGUGUAUGCACAUGUUCUACAGGUAAUGUUUGUAAGAAAAGAUCUUUGCUAAUUAAGUUGUUUUUAAUCAAGAGCAGCUGUUUUGAGCCAUACAAAUUUCUGAUUAAAACAAGAAUUUCUAAAGACUUAUUUGGUAUCAAUUAUUGUUUCUUAUAGUAAUCCAUCAUUAUCAUCAUUAUCACCACCAUUACCAUCACUUCAAUAUCAUUCUUAUUCCUAUCAGCAGUAUCAUUGUCAACACCCCAGGUAGCAACAUUAUUGUCAUCCUACCCUACUAUCACCACCACCAUCAACAUCACCAUCCUUGUCGUCUUCAUUGCUACCAUUUAUACUCAUUACCGCUUGAAUAUUCUCAUCCUUUAGUUUGUCGUUGUAACUACAAUUAUGUUCUUUACCUCUCUCAGUAUUAUCAUCUUCCUCACAUGGCACUAUCACCACCAUUGUAGUCAUCAUCAUUAUCAUCAAUUAUAAAUAUAAAUACCAUAUUGUAUUAUACAGUGAGUUUUAUGAAGAAAAUUAUAAACCCCUCUACAAUCUUACUCUUUUACUCAUUUCAGCCAUGCGGCCGCAGUCAUGCUGGAACACCACCAUGAUCUUUCUGACUUCUUCAGUUUAGGUGUUUCACAUCACCACUCCUAUAUGUGCCUUUAUCCCAGCUGUUGGUACAUUUGGUGUAUACGGGAGUUUGAUUCCGCUGCCCUCGUCUGUACCUAAUGUCAGACUGUUGGUUCAUCCGGUAUUGUGGAGAGUAGGAUGUCUAGUUCUUUUUCGAAACCAUCUACUUCCAUCUUAUGCAAAUUUCUUAGUUUUUGUGGCAGGGCAUUGAAGAGCUAUAGGCCUUUGAACCCUAUACUAUUGCAAUACCUGUUCCUGAAUUUAGAUGGAGUGGAUGGUACCUUUGAUAUAAUACAAUGGUGGCCAGUUCUGGCAUUUGUAUAACAUGCAAUGCCAAAAUUAGGUACUAGCCCUUCUAGGAUUUCCCAUAUGUAUAUUAUUGCAUAUCUCUCAUACCUUCGCUCCAGGGAGUAAAGCUGUAGUUUUCUCAGCCAAUCCCUGUAGCUCGCCCGCUGCACUGUUUCAAUCUUUUUAGUGUAGUGGUGUUGGACUGCUUCAAGCUCCAUUGUUAGUUUGGCACUAUAUGGUGACCUGGGAGUAGUAAUCCAGGUGGCUGAGAACAAAGGUUCUCCACAGGGUCAACAUAGUUUCUUGGUCUCUUGUCAUGAAGGACUUCAGUAUCCAUACUGCCAGUUGUCUGCACUUUGCUGCCAUCUUGCUUAUGUGCAUAUGAAAUGAUGCGUCAUUGCACAUACUGAUCCCCAAGUCUUUCACUGCCUGUGACUCUGAGAUUGUAGUGCCUUCGGGUCCUGUAAAUGUAGAUUGUACUGUAUUUGUGAGUUGAUAGUGCAGUGUUUGAAAUUUUCCAGUAUUAAACUGCAUUUUGUUUACUUUGGCCCACUUGUAUAUUGAGUUUAGGUCCUGCUGUAAGCUUGAAACAUCAUCUUGGUUUUUUAUUGCCUGUGAUAAUUUUGUAUCAUCAGCAUAGCUGGUGGCAGUGGUUGUCUGAGUGACUGUGGUCAUGUCUAAUAAGGCUAUUAUGAACAGUAAUGGCCCCAGAACAGUUACACAAGUAUAUAGGAGGGUAUAUAGAUAUAUAAAAAUAUAAUACUAUAAGAUAUAAAAUUCUCUUAUAAAGAAUUUAUAAAAUGAAAAAAUAAAAUAUUUCAUUGUGAAUGACAUGAACUGUAUAAUGGAGAUAAGAAAUAAAAAAUAAGGAUAAGUCAAGGUAUGCAUAACAAAUGCUGAUUAAAAAAUAAAUAAAUUAAGAUAAAGGUAUCAUGGGAAAUUGUUUUAUAAAAUAUAUUAGUGACACAGAAAUGUGUGGAAUAGUAACAGUUCACAGGAAGUUUACCUUAUACUUAGGGGAGGUGCAAGAUCUAACUUGGGCAUAAAGACAGAAAUUUGGGGGAGAUGGAAUUAGUUGAUAAUAUUAGUCCACUACAUGAUUGGUACUUAAUCAUAUUGACCCUGGAGAAAUGAGAGACAAUGUUUCUCUUGGCAGGAUUUGAACAUAGGACAGAGUGAGUCGGAGAAUCCGAAUAAAUGCUGAAAGCAGUUUAUCUAAAGUUCUAAUGAUACCACUAAUCUCUCCCUCACCACUGCUCCCAUAAAAGAGAUAAUCGCAGCUGUUGUAAGAGAACUGAAAUGUUAAAAACUUUGAAAACAAUAGUUGUGAAAGGUUUGAAGUUCUGAUUCCAGUUACACCCGAUAAAACUGAAAGGUCAGAACUCACUUCUGCUAAAUUCCAUCCAGAUCACUUCCAAAAUAUAACAACAUGAAAUGUGUGGAAAUCAAGGAUGGAUUCUCUACAUAUUAGCUUGAUUUGCUAGAAAUAGCAGCAAAGUUUCCCUCAAAUCACACCCAACUAUCUUAAAGCAGAAAUAAAACCAAGAGCAAUGUAACUAUAGAUUUAGAAAAUGUCAUGGUUGAUUAGAGCUGAUUCAUGGCUAAACAAUAAUGACAAGGUCAACAAUGUUGAAUGUGUGAAACCACAACUGGAGCCUCUAUACAGUUGCUUGAUUUGCUAGAAAUAGUUGUAAAAAGUUUCCCUUAUCAUACUCUGCUGUCUUAAACAGGAACAAAACAUGAGACACUGUAAUGCAAGGUUUACAAAAUGUCAGGAAUGUCUGUAAUCAAAAGUCUGCUUGAUUAGGACUGAUCCAGGGCUAAACAAUAUUAACAAUAUGGAAUAUGUAAAACCAAUGAGGGAGUCUCUACACAAUCACUUGAUUUACUAGAAUUAACAGGAAAAUUUUCCUCAAAUCACACCCUGUCAUCUUAACCCUUUAGCUUUCAGAUUACUCUGUCAAAUGUAAUGCUUAUUUAUUCACAAUGUUUUGAAUUAAUCAAGCAGUAUCUUGUAGCUUUGAGAUUUCUAUGAUGUGAUUGUUUACUUUUAGAAUGACAUUGUGAGAUAGGUGUGAG